GCGGAGAUGAGGUGCUUGCACCUUAUCUUAGCGGCGGACGGGUGAGUAAUGCUUAGGAAUCUGCCUAUUAGUGGGGGACAACAUUCCGAAAGGGAUGCUGAUACCGCAUACGUCCUACGGGAGAAAGCAGGGGAUCUUCGGACCUUGCGCUAAUAGAUGAGCCUAAGUCGGAUUAGCUAGUUGGUGGGGUAAAGGCCUACCAAGGCGACGAUCUGUAGCGGGUCUGGGAGGAUGAUCCGCCACACUGGGACUGAGACACGGCCCAGACUCCUACGGGAGGCAGCAGUGGGGAAUAUUGGACAAUGGGGGGAACCCUGAUCCAGCCAUGCCGCGUGUGUGAAGAAGGCCUUAUGGUUGUAAAGCACUUUAAGCGAGGAGGAGGCUACUGAGACUAAUACUCUUGGAUAGUGGACGUUACUCGCAGAAUAAGCACCGGCUAACUCUGUGCCAGCAGCCGCGGUAAUACAGAGGGUGCGAGCGUUAAUCGGAUUUACUGGGCGUAAAGCGUGCGUAGGCGGCUUUUUAAGUCGGAUGUGAAAUCCCCGAGCUUAACUUGGGAAUUGCAUUCGAUACUGGGAAGCUAGAGUAUGGGAGAGGAUGGUAGAAUUCCAGGUGUAGCGGUGAAAUGCGUAGAGAUCUGGAGGAAUACCGAUGGCGAAGGCAGCCAUCUGGCCUAAUACUGACGCUGAGGUACGAAAGCAUGGGGAGCAAACAGGAUUAGAUACCCUGGUAGUCCAUGCCGUAAACGAUGUCUACUAGCCGUUGGGGCCUUUGAGGCUUUAGUGGCGCAGCUAACGCGAUAAGUAGACCGCCUGGGGAGUACGGUCGC
rnacentral:rRNA from 1 species